rnacentral:rRNA from 1 species
AUUGAACGCUGGCGGCAGGCCUAACACAUGCAAGUCGAACGAGUGGCGGACGGGUGAGUCAUGUCUGGGAAACUGCCCGAUGGAGGGGGCUAACUACUGGAACCGGUAGCUAAUACCGCAUACCAUCGGAUGUGCCCAGCUGGGAUUAGCUAGUAGGUGGGGUAACGGCUCACCUAGGCGACGCUCCCUAGCUGGUCUGAGAGGAUGACCAGCCACACGGGAACUGAGACACGGUACAGACUGCUACGGGAGGCAGCAGUGGGGAAUAUUGGACAAUGGGCGCAAGCCUGAGGCAGCCAGGCCGCGUGUAUGAAGAAGGCCUUCGGGUUGUAAAGUACUUUCAGCGAGGAGGCGUUACUCGCAGAAGAAGCACCGGCUAACGCCGUGCCAGCAGCCGCGGUAAUUC